rnacentral:misc_RNA from 1 species
ACACCUCAACCCUCAUGGUUUACCAUGGUGGGCUUGGACUUUGGGGGUCUUGCUGGACUGUAGUCAGCUCCCCUUAAAUGAAUCAGCUUGCCAGUGUCUGGUGGCAUCACAGGUGUGAUAAUUAUCUACGCUUGUGGUUUUACAUCAGGUAACCUUCAGAGAUGGGGGUUCACUGGGGCUCACAAAAAGGUCUCUCCUCAGUGAGGAUGAUGGCUCUUUGAAC